UACGGAGGGAGCUAGCGUUAUUCGGAAUUACUGGGCGUAAAGCGCACGUAGGCGGCUUUGUAAGUAAGAGGUGAAAGCCCAGAGCUCAACUCUGGAAUUGCCUUUUAGACUGCAUCGCUUGAAUCAUGGAGAGGUCAGUGGAAUUCCGAGUGUAGAGGUGAAAUUCGUAGAUAUUCGGAAGAACACCAGUGGCGAAGGCGGCUCACUGGCUCAUUACUGACGCUCAGGCACGACAGCGUGGGGAUCAAACAGG
rnacentral:rRNA from 1 species